CUUGAAUUCAUCUGGCACUGUUGACCAACACAGAGAGCCAAAACACACACGGAAUUCAAAAUCAGAAAUAAUCCCAAGUUUGAGUCAUCCAAUGUGCUUGUCUACAUUGAUUGCACUCACCAGAUAAAAGUCCAAUGCACUCUGUGGGGUGAAACAGCCUCUGUCUCAGGUUGGGAGUUGCUGCCAUGGAGACCACAAGAGUGGAGAUUUUCUGACACACAGAAAGGAAUGGAUUACAGCUCCUUCUUAUGUAAAUUUCCAUGGAGGGGAAAAAAGAUUAAAAGGAAAAUAAUUCUGCUUUAGUCGUUUUCCUUUAAGGUGAUAAGAUCCUUUGAUUCCAUCGUGGAGAAGAAGGCAACAGCUGUUUGUCACAAAUGAUGGGAAAUGUGCCAACGUCACAACAAGGUUUGAGGGAGGCACAUCUCAUGCUCGGACAUGAACACCCGAUCAUCAUGCUUAUGAACUACAAAAGGAUCUCCAGUAUGGGCUCACGGCAGUUGGCCCUUGAAUAACAUGAAUUUGAACUGCCUGAGUCUGCUAAUAUGUGGAUUAUCUUCUGCUUCUGCACCCUGAGACAGCAAGACCAACCCUUCCUCUUGCUUCUUUUCCUUAGCCUAUUCAACGUGAAGAUGACUAAGUUCACAGAGUUUGAGAGAAACUGUAUUCAAGUUGCUGAAACCAAGAAGCUACACUCACGAGUCUCACCUAAACUCGAAUCUGAUUUAGAUGACAUCAUCCUGGACUUUGAGUUGAUGAAACCUUGGAGGUCUUGGGAGUAAAGCAAGUGUGAUUUGCAUAUGAUGGAUAUGAAUUGUAAUGGCCAGAGCAUGGCUGUGAGAUGAAAACUCCCAUUUUAGGGAACCAAGACUGAAUUCCAUAAUUUACAUGGAUGUUUGGAAGGUGUCUGCAACUUAAUCUGUGUUCGUUUCUGAGAUGUUGGGCAACUCCUUCUUGGAAGAUGUGGUAAUGGUCUCUUCGAAAAGAAAAUAAUCAUCUGAGUUUUGGCCAAAAUAGUUGAUCGGAUUACCUAUGAAAAUGACUCUCACCCAACUACAAGAAUGUUAUGAUGUAGAAACUCUAAAUAUAUGAGUAAUUAACUAUACAACACUCCAUCCCCAUGUGAAAAUCUUUAAUCUUUUAAGAUACUGAAAUUUUGUGUAUGUCUCAUAAUUUUCUGUAUAUGGUCAAUGAGUUUUGCCUUAGCCAUAAGUGGUCUGUCUGAAAUCUUCUCUAUUAUUUGUGCAUUUUCUUCCUGAUGUACCAAGCCUAGUCUGUUUGUUUUUUCCUAAGAGAAAAGCAGAUGAUUCAACUGUGUAUUUCUCAGUGUUGAUAUUGUGGUUUGAGGUAUUUCAUAAUCUUGAGUAAAAUCUUGUCAAUUUUAUGCUAUGCCUUGUGGGAACAUAUUUUUACUUUUAAGUCUCUUUGGCAAGUGGAGCUUCCUUUGUGUUUCCUCACCAAAUGUAUUCCCCAUUGUUUUCUGAUUAAUUCUUUUUCAGAAUGUUUACUCCUUCUUACCUCAAUGUCAUUACUUUUCAGUCUUGGCUUUGGGUAAACCUAGGACAAGAAUUGGAUAUCCAAAGCCAAUUUCAAUAUAAAAACUAUAAUAUCUAUCAAAAUCUAUGUAAAAUCCUGUGUAUAUUUCUCUUCUUUGUUGAACAGGGGCUUAUAAUCAUGUAGGUAAAUACACGUGGUUUUGAUUUCAGCACUGAUUACUGAAGAUUUGUCUUCCAUUCUUCUGGGCCAGGCCCAUACACAACCAUAGUUAGAAGUAAAAACUAUUUGUUAUACCUGGAAUGCCUUUCCUUUCAAUCUCUGAAUGUCUAAAAUUACUUUUUCUUUGAAGACCACCUCAGGUGACCCUACUGUGGGGAAAAUGCCUGAAUUAUCUUUGUAAUCCCAGCUCAGCCACUUAAAGAUUGUGUAAGUUUAGUGUCAGCAUAUUACUUAAGUUCUUUUAGAUUUAGUUUCCUCAUAUGUAAGCUGGGGAUAAUAAUACCUACCUCAUAGAAAAUGAAUGAGAAUCAAGUUAUAUAAUAUAUGAACAACACUUGACACUGUGUGUGAACACUCAAUACAUGUAAAUCAUUAUUAUUAGCAAAAUGAUUAUUAGGUUCUCAUGCUAAUCCACAAUUUUUAUUGGCAGAUAUCCAUUAGUUUAUAGUUAAUGUUAUUCAUAAUCUUUUCUUCAUAUUCAAAUAGGAAGAGAUGACUUCUCAAUCUAGUUAAUCCUGGAUGUGUAUUUCUCUUAAUUUAUUGAGUGUAAAAUGCUUAUUUAUAUACAUACAAUUUCCCUUAUUAGUGAACAUCUAGAAGGCAGAAUGGUACUUCAUUUCUUUCUGUAUGUUUAGCACCAAGGACAGUACCUGGCACAUAGAAGAUACAUAUUAAAAACAAAUAAAACAACUCUUAAUGGAUCUCAUUUUAAAAAAAUUCUCGGUUAAUUAUAAAGGCUCUAGUAAACCAAAUAAUUGUAUGUUAACUUAUUUACUUUUAUUACUGUGUUUAUUUUCUCCAACUGCUUCAUCAUACAAAGUAAACACCUGAAUGUAAGCUGCAUGAGGGCAAGAGCUGUGUCUUGUUUACUGCUCUCAAGAACAUUUGAGCAAAGUGCCUGGCACAUGGCAGACACUCAAUAAGUUACAAUUAAUACUCAAUGUAUGAACUGAUCUAUACUUAGAAUUGACUAAGAAGAAUAAGUCUUACACAGACUCAGUCUCUGAGAACUUGAAAAUCUAAGUUUGCAUAUCUCUGCUGUUGUGUUUUCAGGUUACUCAGUAGAAAACCAAGUUAUUUACACAUCCUCAAGUGUCUCAAGGUUAAAUCUUCCAUGCAUAAAAUAUCUGGGCGAUUGAUUGUGUUUCUUACUUUGCUCCUAAGUAUGUUAGCAUCAUAUAGGCAUAGCCUAAGCCAGACCAAAAUGAAUUCAUUGAUUGACUCAACAAAUGUUUAUGGAUCUCAG
rnacentral:lncRNA from 10 species